rnacentral:rRNA from 1 species
UACGAAGGGGACUAGCGUUGUUCGGAAUCACUGGGCGUAAAGCGCACGUAGGCGGAUCUGUAAGUCAGGGGUGAAAUCCCGGGGCUCAACCUCGGAACUGCCUUUGAUACUGCGAAUCUCGAGUCCGAUAGAGGUGGGUGGAAUUCCUAGUGUAGAGGUGAAAUUCGUAGAUAUUAGGAAGAACACCGGUGGCGAAGGCGGCCCACUGGAUCGGUACUGACGCUGAGGUGCGAAAGCGUGGGGAGCAAACAGG